rnacentral:rRNA from 1 species
GACGAACGCUGGCGGCGUGCCUAAUACAUGCAAGUCGAGCGAAUCAAUGGGAGCUUGCUCCCUGAGAUUAGCGGCGGACGGGUGAGUAACACGUGGGUAACCUGCCUGUAAGACUGGGAUAACUUCGGGAAACCGGAGCUAAUACCGGAUACGUUCUUUUCUCGCAUGAGAAGAGAUGGAAAGAUGGUUCUGCUAUCACUUACAGAUGGACCCGCGGCGCAUUAGCUAGUUGGUGAGGUAACGGCUCACCAAGGCGACGAUGCGUAGCCGACCUGAGAGGGUGAUCGGCCACACUGGGACUGGGACACGGCCCAGACUCCUACGGGAGGCAGCAGUAGGGAAUCUUCCGCAAUGGACGAAAGUCUGACGGAGCAACGCCGCGUGAGCGAAGAAGGCCUUCGGGUCGUAAAGCUCUGUUGUUAGGGAAGAACAAGUACAAGAGUAACUGCUUGUACCUUGACGGUACCUAACCAGAAAGCCACGGCUAACUACGUGCCAGCCGCCGCAGUAAUAC